ensembl:misc_RNA
AAAACAUUUCUACAAAACAUAAGAUGGCAAAGAGGUGGAAGAAAAAUUAAUACUGGCAGUUCAGCUUUGCCUAA